rnacentral:rRNA from 1 species
CCUACGGGAAGCUGCAGUCGAGAAUCAUUCACAAUGGGGGAAACCCUGAUGGUGCGACGCCGCGUGGGGGAAUGAAGGUCUUCGGAUUGUAAACCCCUGUCAUGUGGGAGCAAAUUAAAAAGAUAGUACCACAAGAGGAAGAGACGGCUAACUCUGUGCCAGCAGCCGCGGUAAUACAGAGGUCUCAAGCGUUGUUCGGAAUCACGGGGCGUAAGGCGUGCGUAGGCUGUUUCGUAAGUCGUGUGUGAAAGGCGCGGGCUCAACCCGCGGACGGCACAUGAUACUGCGAGACUAGAGUAAUGGAGGGGGAACCGGAAUUCUCGGUGUAGCAGUGAAAUGCGUAGAUAUCGAGAGGAACACUCGUGGCGAAGGCGGGUUCCUGGACAUUAACUGACGCUGAGGCACGAAGGCCAGGGGAGCGAAAGGGAUUAGAUACCCCAGUAGUC